rnacentral:tRNA from 1 species
GUCAGGAUGGCCGAGCGAUCGAAGGCGCCAGACUGAAGGUGAAAAUCAUUCCUGAAAAAGGGGUAUUCUGGUCUCUGAAUGGAGGCGUGGGUUUGAAUCCCGCUUCUGAUA